GACGAACGCUGGCGGCGUGCUUAACACAUGCAAGUCGAGCGGUAAGGCCCUUUCGGGGGUACACGAGCGGCGAACGGGUGAGUAACACGUGGGUGACCUGCCCUCAGCUCUGGGAUAAGCCCGGGAAACUGGGUCUAAUACCGGAUAUGACUCCAUGACGCAUGUUGUGGGGUGGAAAGCCUUGUGCGGCUGAGGAUGGGCCCGCGGCCUAUCAGCUUGUUGGUGGGGUGANGGCCUACCAAGGCGACGACGGGUAGCCGGCCUGAGAGGGCGACCGGCCACACUGGGACUGAGACACGGCCCAGACUCCUACGGGAGGCAGCAGUGGGGAAUCUUGCGCAAGUGGGCGAAAGCCUGACGCAGCGACGCCGCGUGAGGGAUGACGGCCU
rnacentral:rRNA from 1 species